rnacentral:rRNA from 1 species
GACGAACGCUGGCGGCGUGCCUAAUACAUGCAAGUCGAGCGGUGAAGGCUGGUUCUUGUUCUAGAUGGAGGAGCAGCGAACGGGGGAGUAAUGCGUGAGGAGUCUGCCUUCUAGCCGCGGACAACAUUUGGAAACGAAUGCUAAUACCUCAUAAAAACUUGAAACACAAGGUGGAAGCUUGAAAGAUGCAAUUGCAUCAAGUAAAGGUGGUUCCGCGUUGUAUGAGCUAGCUGGUGAGGUGAGGGGUCACCAAGGCGCAGAUACAUAGCCGACCUGAGAGGGUGGUCGGUCGCAUUGGGCAUGGGACAUGGCCCACACUCCUGAGGGAGGCAGCAGUAAGGAAUCUUCGGCAAUGGACGAAAGUCUGACCGCUCAACCCCGGGUGCGUGGUGAAGGUUUUCGGAUCGUGAAACUCUGUUGGUAGAGGAGAGCGUUGGUGCGAGUGGAAAGCUCAUGAAGUGACGGUAGCUGCACAGAAAGCGACGGCUAACUACGUG